GGAUUAGAUACCCUGGUAGUCCACGCUGUAAACGAUGAACACUAGAUAUUGGAGGAUUUGACCCCUUCAGUGUCGCAGCUAACGCGUUAAGUGUUCCGCCUGGGAAGUACGGUCGCAAGACUAAAACUCAAAGGAAUUGACGGGGGCCCGCACAAGCGGUGGAUUAUGUGGUUUAAUUCGAAGCAACGCGCAGAACCUUACCUAGGCUUGAAAUCCCAUGAAUCCCUUUUAAACGAGGGAGUGCUCUUCGGAGAAUAUGGUGACAGGCGCUGCAUGGCUGUCGUCAGCUCGUGCCG
rnacentral:rRNA from 1 species